GCUGGAGGAAUUCAGCAGAACCACAGAAGACAGAACAAGCAAUGUGCUUCCAGCCGCUGCCAGAGGAGAACCAGUGAGGCCACCAGUGCGCAGGAUAGUUCAUCGUGGAUGUGUCCAGAAUCCUUCCUGGAGCUACACCCACAGAGAAGAAAAGCUCAUUCCCAGGGAGAGCCCCACGCCAGCUGAAGAGAGGCUGGCUGAUUCGAUGUCCCAGGAGAAAUGAUGAAAGGCAACUUGGGAGUCUCCCCCUAACCAGGGGUGGAAGAACAAAAAAUGGCAUCCUCGCCCUCAGAUGACUCAUUCCUGGGGCAGAUAACGCGUUUCUGAGGCACAGAACUUCACUACCUCAGAUCUUUUGAAAACCUGUUUAUGAGUGUUCCUAAAGACAAGAACAUGACGAGCUUUUGUACUCCUUCACCUUGGUGUUGAGUGAUGGCAUACUAGAGAUGUUUUGGAACCCCUUUGACUCCUGCAAAACAUCCAAAGAGGACUGGGUGGGUGGGUAAUAAAAAUAACAAACUCACAUUAGUUA